GCCACAGGACCCGUCCAUAGGUUGGAUGGAGUGUGGGUGACAGAGGUAAACCAGGGCUCUCGGCCUGGGCAGCAGGACAGGUGGAGUCAUCCUCACCUGUGCUGGGGACUCUGUGGGAGCAGCAGGCUUCCGAGCACGUGUUGGACCCCGGCGUCUCUGGCUGCACCGAGGGGUCAGGGCAGGGACAUUGAGGCCGCGUCAGGGAGCGUGAGAUACAGGGACAAGCGGGCCCAGGGCUGAGCCCAGCAGUGUCCGGGUGGAAGUGGCGUUGAGAUGGGAAUGGGGAAUUGCACGGGUGGUCUCAGGAGGAUGGAAAACCCAAGCAGCAGCUGGACCAGGACCGAGGCAAAGGGACCGCAGUUUAACAGAAAACCCAAAACGAGAGCGAGAAAAUGGCCAAAACCCCGUGCGAGGAGGAAACCCAAGCUCCGCCGAGCGCGGCGGGUCUGGGCCUUCGCUUCGCUUCCUUCUGACCCGACCCUGAGUUCUUUCUCCGGACGGUGUCGCGAACCCGGGCGCCGGCUGGGGCUGGGGUCUCGCUGGCCUCGGAGCCCCCCGAGCCCUCAGGCAACAGCGAGGGAACGCCAGGCCCCCGAACGCAACCCAC
rnacentral:antisense_RNA from 1 species